rnacentral:lncRNA from 1 species
GUGGGACUUAAUCUACUGAGUGACUUUGGCUGUAGGACUUCCUGUUGGCCUUGCCAAAUCUUUCUUGAAGUUGCGCUGCAUUCUGAGACUUCUUAUUCAAACUUGCUGUUUUCUCCUUAUUCUUUUCAGCAGACUUGUGGCUAAAGAUCUCCUCACCUUGUUUAUCUCCCUCACCUUUAUUCUUAACUCUCAUGUUCUUCAAUAAUUCACUGUGCAUCAAAUUCUGUCUUAGUGUAUGUUUCUCAGAGGAACAUCACAAACAAAUGUUUGCAGUAGUAGUCUGAAAAAACAGGCAAGAAGUUAGAAAACCCCAGCUGGUGCUGUUCCAGUUAUUAAAGAUUUCACUGUUGGAGACCUGCAAAAUGUCCUAGUGGUAAGUGCAACGAUUUCAGAUUUGAAAGAUAUGAGAAGAUCAAUGCCCAUAGUAAUAUCAGAGUUAGCCAGUUACAACUGAGUUGUAUCGACACAUUGCAGAGAAAUAGUGAAAAACUGAGGUAACAAGCAGUUUAGAGGCUACGUAUGAAAGGGAAUUUUUUUGGUAACUUACAAAGAGACAUUAAUUUCUGGGAAUGGAUAAGUCUGCACAGCUGAAAAGCAGACUGGGCAUCUGAUAAUUAUAGCUCUCAGGUAACAGUUACAUUUCCAAGUGAAAUAGGUUAUUAUGCUAAGGUCAGAGCCUUAUUGUUAAAACCUGGGACCCAGAAAUAUGGGAUGAGACUAGAUGAGUGCCUCACAUGAUGUUGGCUGCACAAAGCCUUUUAAUUUCUCCUAGCUUGUGAACGUGGCCAACCCAUCCCUAAUAGGAGUCAGAAUUUCUCCUAGGCUGGAAGAUGCUGCUUCAACAAGACAAUAAGGCAUCUACUCAUGAGUUGUCUCUAUCUUCUCUCUUGGCCUCCAGUUUCACUAGGGUUAAAUUCAAGGGAGAGUUAUUUGGAACUUGCUGAUCCUGAUAAGGGAAGAAAAGGAUUAUAUGAUAAAGCAGUUGUAAUGAUUAGAUUUAAAAAGUUCACAGGAGGCAAGAGAGUAUUCCUAAUAUUGAUUUAGAUUGAGUUUGCUUACCUGGACCAGAAUAUAAGACAUUGUAAACAAGAAGAGCCAUUGAUUUGGAGACAUUUUCUUGGGAUUCCAUAUUUUGUACCCAGGGAAGGACUCCACAAGUUUGGGAAGCUCACUGCUGGAGUGGAUCUUAGAGGUACAGAGAAAGUGAUGGCCAACACUAAAUGACGUAUAAAUGAAUGUGUUUUCCCUGCAGGUUGUAGGGUAAUAAAUAAACAGCUGACAUGAGUAGAAAUGCUGGGUUGGAUAUAGAAUGUGAGGUUGGAAGAGUCACAGAGGAUAACAUUUCUAUUUCACUUGUAGCCCAGAGGACCCACUAUUCAUCAAGGCUACCAGAAUACACUUUUGUGGAAUACCAACAUCACCAACAAGUUCAAUAACAACUUUCCUCUAUGAGUUAAUUCUUAGGCUCCCUCAGAGGUCAAAAUGUGGCUUAGGACCGAGUUCCAUUACACAGAUGAUGGAAGGAACCACACCAACUUAAGCAUCCAGGUCAGAUACUUUUCCCAAUGUAAGCCACACCCUGAGAGUAUGGUUGAGUAAAUGUGCUUUUGGGUGACACUUGACCAAUGAAAGGAAAAAACGGAAGAUAGCAUGUAAGUUGGUAUGCUCACAUAGACUGUUUUGAGAUGCAGAAAAUUAUUUCACACAUUCAGAAGAUAUUUGGUGGCAUUGAGGAACCAGUUAUGUUUUUUCUGACUCUUCAGGUCAGCUCAAUAAGACAACAACUUCAAUUUUCCUUCCCCUUCUCUGCUUUACUUUCCUGCUUCCCUCAUUCUGGAUUUUCUGGGAUUGCUCACCCUAAAUAAGUGUUAAAUGCUAUCUUUGUCUCAAUAUCUAGUUUCUAAGAACCUCAGAUUGAGAAAAGAUGGUGUGUUGACACAUUCAAAGAGGUAGAGACGUUUUUGAAAGAGGUUUUUGAAAGAGGUUUUUUUUUUUUUUUUUCCUCUCUUUCCAGG